rnacentral:rRNA from 1 species
UUUUUCAMAAAUGAAUUUAAUUCAUGCAUUUGAUUUAAUUUCUGUUGUUUUAUUAUCUAUUUUUAUUUGAUGCUAAGAUUAAGGGGGAUUAGCUCCUUGUUUUAUUUUUAUAAUUAUUAUUUUAAUUUAGUUUUGUGGAUUUUAUGGUGAUUUUCAAUUUGAUUAUGUUAAAAUUUUAUUUUUUCUUUUGUUUAUUUGUUGUUAAUUUAAAUUUUUUAUUGGAAUGUUUUCUUUAUUUUGUUUUGUAUGGUAAUUAUUGUGUAAUUAGUAAAUUGUGCUUUAUUGUAGUGUUCAUUUAUUUGUGUUAAUUUCUUUUUAGGAAUUAGGCAAAAGUUUCAUGUCCGCCUGUUUAACAAAAACAUCUUUUCUUGUUAGUUUUUGAAGUAUGGCCUGCCCACUGACUUAGGUUGAAGGGCCGCGGUAUUUUGACCGUGCAAAGGUAGCAUAAUCAUUAGUUCUUUAAUUGUGAUCUGGUAUGAAUGGCUUGACGAGACAUGGGCUGUCUUAAUGGUAUUGUUUGUUGAAUUUGGUUUUUGAGUUAAAAUUCUUAGAUGUUUUUAUGGGACGAGAAGACCCUAUAGAGUUUGACAUUUUUCUUAUUAGUGUGAGGAUGUUUGUUGUGAWUGAUUUAAUAGGUUUAUUGUUUUGUUGGGGUGAUGGGAGGAAUUUUUUUAACUCCUCUUUUGUUUGUUAUAUUUAUAUAUAUAUUUUGAUCC